GGGGUCGUAGCUCAAUGGGAGAGCAGCUGCUUUGCAAGCAGAAGGUUGGGAGUUCGAAUCUCCUCUUCUCCA
rnacentral:tRNA from 1 species